rnacentral:rRNA from 1 species
GAUGAACGCUGGCGGCGUGCCUAAUACAUGCAAGUCGAGCGAACAGACCAGGAGCUUGCUCCUCUGACGUUAGCGGCGGACGGGUGAGUAACACGUGGAUAACCUACCUAUAAGACUGGGAUAACUUCGGGAAACCGGAGCUAAUACCGGAUAAUAUAUUGAACCGCAUGGUUCAAUAGUGAAAGACGGUUUUGCUGUCACUUAUAGAUGGAUCCGCGCGGCAUUAGCUAGUUGGUAAGGUAACGGCCUACCAAGGCAACGAUGCGUAGCCGACCUGAGAGGGUGAUAGGCCACACUGGAACUGAGACACGGUCCAGACUCCUACGGGAGGCAGCAGUAGGGAAUCUUCCGCAAUGGGCGAAAGCUUGACGGAGCAACGCCGCGUGAGUGAUGAAGGUCUUCGGAUCGUAAAACUCUGUUAUUAGGGAAGAACAAAUGUGUAAGUAACUAUGCACGUCUUGACGGUACCUAAUCAGAAAGCCACGGCUAACUACGUG